rnacentral:lncRNA from 1 species
GAGCGAGAGAUUCACAGAGAGCCAGCAGAUCCUCACAGGCUCGCAGACAUUGGCCCUUUCCCGUUGCCCCAGCAGCUAAGUCAGGGGCUACUCAGCUUCCCCUGGGGCUCAGCUCCUCACCCCGAUCCUGUCCCCACUUCAGCUCUUGUUUUUUUGGCUUUUAUUUGUAUGAAUUCCUUGGGAACUUCACAUGUAUUUCGAUCACAAUCCCUCCUCUACCCCUCUCCUCCCAGAACCACCCCCAUCCUAUUCCAGCUCACCGACUCCGUGUCCUU